AGGCAGAUUGUGAACGUUGUCUAUAUGGACACUGAACGAUGUUCCACAAAGCAGACUGGUUAGCAAGCACAACCAGAACUGGACAGAGUAUUCCAGAAGAGGCCUCCCCAACAUCUUGUACAUCCUCAACAUAACGUCCCAACUCCUGUACUCCAAGGUCUGAACAAUGAAGAUCCCAGUGAUUAAUGCCAAAGCCCUGUUGCCUGGGGAGAGGGUGAUGUUUGACUUUCUUGUACAGCUGCAGUUUGUGUGGUGAAGG